rnacentral:rRNA from 1 species
UGUGGGAAAGCUUUUGCGGCAUGGGAUGGGGUCGCGUCCUAUCAGCUUGUUGGCGGGGUAGACGGCCCACCAAGGCUUCGACGGGUAGCCGGCCUGAGAGGGUGACCGGCCACAUUGGGACUGAGAUACGGCCCAGACUCCUACGGGAGGCAGCAGUGGGGAAUAUUGCACAAUGGGCGCAAGCCUGAUGCAGCGACGCCGCGUG